AUACAUCCAAUAUGAAAUGCUUGAGCAGAGAGCUUAAAGUAAAUAAUAUAGUGAUAAUCAUUAUUUAACCAGAGAGAACAAUUACACUAGAGUAGCUCUUGAACAACCACAAUCAAAAACCAACCCCAUAAUCAUAUCAUAUCCCUCUUCUACUUAUUAUUACUUGCCAACCUUGAUACUGAUAUAUGCUUAAUUUCUUAUAUCUAGAAAUCCCACUAAUAAUUUACUCUCUUCUUCUCUAGAAAUCCCUUGGAGAUCAGUACUGCAACAUGUCCGCAGAAGGCAUAAUAGGCUACUGGUUUGCAUAAAGAUGAUAAUUCAUAGGAUUAUUCAUGUUCAAGUUCAUGUUCAUGUUCAUGUUGAACAUGAAAAAAUCAGCAGCAGGCUCAGUAAAA
rnacentral:lncRNA from 1 species